rnacentral:misc_RNA from 1 species
GCACCACCACAUCUGUCUU